rfam:Bifidobacterium subtile strain LMG 11597 Contig05, whole genome shotgun sequence.
GAGGUUCCGGUUCACGCCCGCCAUUGGGGCGCGGCGACCCGGGUCC